ACAUACGACCAUAGGGUGUGGAGAACAGGGCUUCCCGUCCGCUCAGCCAUACUUAAGCCACACGCCGGCAGGUUAGUAGUUGGGUGGGUGACCACCAGCGAAUCCCUGCUGUUGUAUGUU
rfam:Penicillium decumbens strain IBT 11843 PENDEC_contig005, whole genome shotgun sequence.